rnacentral:rRNA from 1 species
CUAAGGCUAAAUACUCUCUAGUGACCGAUAGUGAACCAGUACCGUGAGGGAAAGGUGAAAAGUACCCCGGAAGGGGAGUGAAAGAGAACUUGAAACCGUGUGCUUACAAGUAGUCAGAGCCCGUUAAUGGGUGAUGGCGUGCCUUUUGUAGAAUGAACCGGCGAGUUACGAUCUGAUGCAAGGUUAAGCAGAAAAUGUGGAGCCGUAGCGAAAGCGAGUCUGAAUAGGGCGAAUGAGUAUUUGGUCGUAGACCCGAAACCAGGUGAUCUACCCUUGGUCAGGUUGAAGUUCAGGUAACACUGAAUGGAGGACCGAACCGACUUACGUUGAAAAGUGAGCGGAUGAACUGAGGGUAGCGGAGAAAUUCCAAUCGAACUUGGAGAUAGCUGGUUCUCUCCGAAAUAGCUUUAGGGCUAGCCUCAAGUGAUGAUUAUUGGAGGUAGAGCACUGUUUGGACGAGGGGCCCCUCUCGGGUUACCGAAUUCAGACAAACUCCGAAUGCCAAAUAAUUUAACUUGGGAGUCAGAAUGUGGGUGAUAAGGUCCAUAUUCGAAAGGGAAACAGCCCAGACCACCAGCUAAGGUCCCAAAAUAUAUGUUAAGUGGAAAAGGAUGUGGCGUUGCCCAGACAACUAGGAUGUUGGCUUAGAAGCAGCCAUCAUUUAAAGAGUGCGUAAUAGCUCACUAGUCGAGUGACACUGCGCCGAAAAUGUACCGGGGCUAAACAUAUUACCGAAGCUGUGGAUUGUCCUUUGGACAAUGGUAGGAGAGCGUU